UUAAAAUGAGAGUUUGAUCCUGGCUCAGGAUAAACGCUGGCGGCAUGCCUAAUACAUGCAAGUCGAACGGAGGUGCUUGCACCUCAGUGGCGAACGGGUGAGUAACACGUAUCUAAUCUACCUUCUAGCGGGGGAUAACUUUUGGAAACGAAAGGUAAUACCGCAUGUGGAUGUUAUUAUCGCAUGAGAAAACAUUCAAAGAUCCGUUUGGAUCACUAGAAGAUGAGGAUGCGGCGUAUUAGCUAGUAGGCGGGGUAAAGGCCCACCUAGGCGAUGAUACGUAGCCGAACUGAGAGGUUGAUCGGCCACAUUGGGACUGAGAUACGGCCCAGACUCCUACGGGAGGCAGCAGUAGGGAAUUUUUCACAAUGGACGAAAGUCUGAUGAAGCAAUGCCGCGUGAGUGAUGACGGCCUUCGGGUUGUAAAGCUCUGUUGUAAGGGAAGAAAACAUAGGAGAGGAAAUGCUCUUAUCUUGACGGUACCUUACCAGAAAGCCACGGCUAACUAUGUGCCAGCAGCCGCGGUAAUACAUAGGUGGCAAGCGUUAUCCGGAUUUAUUGGGCGUAUAGGGUGCGUAGGCGGUUUCGCAAGUUUGAGGUUAAAGCCCGGAGCUCAACUCCGGUUCGCCUUGAAAACUGCGGGACUAGAAUAUCAGAGAGGUAAGCGGAAUUCCAUGUGUAGCGGUAAAAUGCGUAGAUAUAUGGAAGAACACCAGUGGCGAAAGCGGCUUACUGGCUGAUUAUUGACGCUGAGGCACGAAAGCGUGGGGAGCAAAUAGGAUUAGAUACCCUAGUAGUCCACGCCGUAAACGUUGAGUACUAAGUAUUGGGGAUUACCUCAGUGCUGCAGCUAACGCAUUAAGUACUCCGCCUGAGUAGUAUGCUCGCAAGAGUGAAACUCAAAGGAAUUGACGGGGACCCGCACAAGUGGUGGAGCAUGUGGUUUAAUUCGAAGCAACACGAAGAACCUUACCAGGGCUUGACAUACAGUGCAAAGCUACAGAGAUGUAGUGGAGGUUAACAUUGAUACAGGUGGUGCAUGGUUGUCGUCAGUUCGUGCCGUGAGGUGUUGGGUUAAGUCCCGCAACGAACGCAACCCUUGUCGUUAGUUACUAACAUUAAGUUGAGGACUCUAACGAGACUGCUAGUGUAAGCUAGAGGAAGGUGGGGAUGACGUCAAAUCAUCAUGCCCCUUAUGUCCUGGGCUACACACGUGCUACAAUGGCCGAUACAAAGAGUCGCAAUCUCGUGAGGGGGAGCUAAUCUCAAAAAGUCGGUCUCAGUUCGGAUUGAAGUCUGCAACUCGACUUCAUGAAGCCGGAAUCACUAGUAAUCGCGAAUCAGCUAUGUCGCGGUGAAUACGUUCUCGGGUCUUGUACACACCGCCCGUCAAACCACGAGAGUUGGUAAUACCAGAAGUACGUUUCCUAACCGUAAGGAAGGCGCGUCCCAAGGUAGGACUAGCGAUUGGGGUUAAGUCGUAACAAGGUAUCCGUACGGGAACGUGCGGAUGGAUCACCUCCUUUCUAUGGAG
rnacentral:rRNA from 1 species